UAAAGGAUUUAUUCUGGAAUGAUUAAUCUUUGAAAGUUAGCGAUAGGAUGAGACUGCGGCGGAUUAGGUAGUUGGCGGGGUAAAAGCCCACCAAGCCAAUGAUCCGUAAGGGCCUUUAGCGAGGAAGCCCUGAGAGGGAGUCUGAGACACUACUCCCAGCCCUACGGGGUGCAGCAGUCGGGAAACUUCUGCAAUGCGCGCAAGCGUGACAGAGCAAGCCAAAGUGCUUUUCUAUAUUUGAAAAGCUUUUGUGAUAUGUAAAAAAUUUUAUUUUUAAGGACCGGGCAAGACUGGUGCCAGCCGCCGCGGUAAUCCCAGCGGUCCAAGUCGCAGCCACAAUUAUUGGGUCUAAAACAUCCGUAGCUUGCUUAGUAAGUCCUUUGUGAAAUCUGGCUCCUUAAGAGUCGGGCGAGCAAAAGAUACUGCUUUGCUAGAGAUCGGUAGACGUAAAGAGUACGAAUAGAGUAACGGUAAAAUGUGUUGAUCCUAUUCGGACUAACACAGCGAAGGCACUUUUACGAGAACGAAUCUGACAGUGAGGGAUGAAGGCUAGGGCCGCAAAUUGGAUUAGAUACCCAAGUAGUCCUAGCAGUAACACUG
rnacentral:rRNA from 1 species